GACGAACGCUGGCGGCGUGCCUAAUACAUGCAAGUAGAACGCUGAAGGAGGAGCUUGCUUCUCUGGAUGAGUUGCAAACGGGUGAGUAACGCGUAGGUAACCUGCCUGGUAGCGGGGGAUAACUAUUGGAAACGAUAGCUAAUACCGCAUAAUAGUAGAUGUUGCAUGACAUUUGCUUGAAAGGUGCAAUUGCAUCACUACCAGAUGGACCUGCGUUGUAUUAGCUAGUUGGUGAGGUAACGGCUCACCAAGGCAACGAUACAUAGCCGACCUGAGAGGGGGGGCGGCCAGACUGGGACUGAGACACGGCCCAGACUCCUACGGGAGGCAGCAGUAGGGAAUCGUCGGCAAUGGACGGAAGUCUGAGCGAGCAACGCCGCGGGAGUGAAGAAGGUUGUCGGAUCGUAAAGCUCUGUUGUAAGAGAAGAACGAGUGUGAGAGUGGAAAGUUCACACUGUGACGGUAUCUUAUCAGAAAGGGACGGCUAACUACGUG
rnacentral:rRNA from 1 species